UAUACUUCUUUAUCUCUGAAUGUACUGCUCCUUCUUGGUUUUUCAGUUUUGGUCAUCAUCUGUUGACUUUCCACUGGAGAGGAGGAAGAUGGGACACUUCCAUCAGCGCAUGUACACAAACAUCCGUUUUCCAGUCCUCCCAAGCCAAUAGGAGGUGUAUGGUGUAAUGAUUCAUGGAUACUGGGGAAGGAUCACCACACUUCCUGUCUUGCUGGUGCCUGGUCUACCAGUUGUACUAAUGGGGUACUGAUGGAGCCCAGAAAGCAAGAGAUUCCUCUUCCCAAGAAAGGAUUUACAGCAGCUCUGUUCCAUCGAACUUUCUGCAAUGAAGGAAGUGUCCUGGGUCUGUUCUGUCCAAGGUGAUAGCCACUAGCCACAUGUUGCUAGCUAUGAAGCCCUUGAAAUGUGCCUGGUGAGACUGAAUAAUUGAAUUCGACUUAGGUUUAAUGAAUUAAAACUAAAAUUAAAAUAGCCACAUGUAGCUGGUAGCUGCCACGUAAGGAGUGGAGAUUUGAAGCCACCAGAGUUGGAAGUUGAUAGAAAGGGGAGGAGAUGGGGGGCACGCCAUCCACGUGGCUGCAACCAGCCUGAG